rnacentral:rRNA from 1 species
AACGAACGCUGGCGGCAUGCCUAACACAUGCAAGUCGAACGAGACCUUCGGGUCUAGUGGCGCACGGGUGCGUAACGCGUGGGAACCUGCCCUUAGGUUCGGAAUAACUCCCCGAAAGGGGUGCUAAUACCGGAUAAUGUCUUCGGACCAAAGAUUGAUCGCCUUUGGAUGGGCCCGCGUUGGAUUAGCUAGUUGGUAGGGUAAAAGCCUACCAAGGCGACGAUCCAUAGCUGGUCUGAGAGGAUGAUCAGCCACACUGGGACUGAGACACGGCCCAGACUCCUACGGGAGGCAGCAGUGGGGGAUAUUGGACAAUGGGCGAAAGCCUGAUCCAGCAAUGCCGCGUGAGUGAUGAAGGCCUUAGGGUUGUAAAGCUCUUUUACCCGAGAUGAUAAUGACGGUACCGGGAGAAUAAGCUCCGGCUAACUCCGUG